AGUGAACGCUGGCGGUAGGCCUAACACAUGCAAGUCGAACGGCAGCACAGGAGAGCUUGCUCUCUGGGUGGCGAGUGGCGGGCGGGUGAGGAAUACAUCGGAAUCUGCCCAGUCGUGGGGGAUAACGUAGGGAAACUUACGCUAAUACCGCAUACGACCUUCGGGUGAAAGAGGGGGAUCGCAAGACCUCUCGCGAUUGGAUGAGCCGAUGUCGGAUUAGCUAGUUGGCGGGGUAAUGGCCCACCAAGGCGACGAUCCGUAGCUGGUCUGAGAGGAUGAUCAGCCACACUGGAACUGAGACACGGUCCAGACUCCUACGGGAGGCAGCAGUGGGGAAUAUUGGACAAUGGGCGCAAGCCUGAUCCAGCCAUACCGCGUGGGUGAAGAAGGCCUUCGGGUUGUAAAGCCCUUUUGUUGGGAAAGAAAUCUUUCAGGCUAAUACCCUGGGAGGAUGACGGUACCCAAAGAAUAAGCACCGGCUAACUUCGUG
rnacentral:rRNA from 1 species